rnacentral:rRNA from 1 species
CCUACGGGAGGCAGCAGUGAGGAAUAUUGGUCAAUGGACGAGAGUCUGAACCAGCCAAGUAGCGUGAAGGAUGACUGCCCUAUGGGUUGUAAACUUCUUUUAUAUGGGAAUAAAAUGUUCCACGUGUGGGAUUUUGUAUGUACCAUAUGAAUAAGGAUCGGCUAACUCCGUGCCAGCAGCCGCGGUAAUACGGAGGAUCUGAGCGUUAUCCGGAUUUAUUGGGUUUAAAGGGAGCGUAGGUGGAUUGUUAAGUCAGUUGUGAAAGUUUGCGGCUCAACCGUAAAAUUGCAGUUGAAACUGGCAGUCGUGAGUACAGUAGAGGUGGGCGGAAUUCGUGGUGUAGCGGUGAAAUGCUUAGAUAUCACGAAGAACUCUGAUUGCGAAGGCAGCUCACUGGACUGCAACUGACACUGAGGCUCGAAAGUGUGGGUAUCAAACAGGAUUAGAUACCCGUGUAGUC